rnacentral:rRNA from 1 species
AUUGAACGCUGGCGGCAGGCCUAACACAUGCAAGUCGAACGGUAACAGGUCUUCGGAUGCUGACGAGUGGCGAACGGGUGAGUAAUGCAUCGGAUCGUGCCUAGUAGUGGGGGAUAACGCAGCGAAAGCUGUGCUAAUACCGCAUACGAUCUACGGAUGAAAGCGGGGGAUCGCAAGACCUCGCGCGAUUGGAGCGGCCGAUAUCAGAUUAGCUAGUUGGGGAGGUAAAGGCUCACCAAGGCGACGAUCUGUAGCUGGUCUGAGAGGACGACCAGCCACACUGGAACUGAGACACGGUCCAGACUCCUACGGGAGGCAGCGGUGGGGAAUUGUUCGCAAUGGGCGCAAGCCUGACGACGCAACGCCGCGUGGAGGAUGAAGACCUUCGGGUCGUAAACUCCUUUCGACCGAGAUGAACACUCACCGACCUAACACGUCGGUGAGCUGACAGUACCGAGGGAAGAAGCCCCGGCUAACUCCGUGCCAGCCGCCGCCGUAACAC